UGAACUUACGCCAUUUCCUUGGUGCUCCAAGGAGAUCAGUGACUACAACCUGCACAACAUUGCCAGAUCUUCAAGAUUUCAUUAUGAUCUUUGUUCAUGCCCACUCUUCACUUGCUUGACAGCCACUCUUCAUAGUGUCUAAGAUAAUGAAAGCAUAACUUCAUAUGUCAGGAUCUGCAAGGACAGGUUUUGCAGAAAACCUAUGGACCUAAAGCAGCUGUCAGCCAUCCUUGCCCUGGCAGACCUGGAGC